ACUCAGCUGACGACUUCAAAAUAGGACGAAACACGCGUCUCGGAU
rnacentral:hammerhead_ribozyme from 1 species